GGGACCCUUGGAUCUCAGAUGGGAGGCAGUUCCAAAGGAUUGGGGUGACCACCAAAAAAAAGUGCAAAAGAGUGCACCUCACAGGUUAAUGAGUUACCUCCACGGUAACUGAAUUACCGCCAAGGUAACUCAGGCAACUGUAUUUAAGAGAGAGGACUUCCCCAAGUGCCUACCCUACCCAAUUUGGUGGGAUGGGCAGAUACCCCUCAGGAUACCUAGGUAAACAACCUAGGCCUGUUCCAUGUGGGGUUUUAAAAGUGAUGACCAGCACCUUGAAUUGCAUCCAGAAAGCAUCCGGAAGCCAGUGCAACUCAAAUAGCAAUGAAGUAGUGUGGCACGUCAGUGCAUUCUGGAUGAUCUUCAAGGGCAGCCCCAUGUAGAGCACAUUGUAGUAAUCCAAAUAGAAUACAACUAUGUCAUGAUUGAUUGUGAGCAAGGCCUCCCACAAGAGGAAAUCUGUACAAAGUCUCCAUCGCCACGGCUUCCAUCUGUUCUAGUAUGAGCUACAAAAGGCUCCCCAAAGUGGGUACCAGUUCCGUUCCUGGAGAGUGUUACUCCAUCCAGAGUCAAAGAAGUGAACUCUCCUGAUCCCAGGGGAAGCAUCACUGCUACUCUAUCUUGCUAGGGUUGAGAUGUAGCUUUCAUCCAGAGACUUACAUCCUCCAGGCACUGAGCCAUCACCAGAACAGCAGCCUUUGUGAAGUCGUGUCCAACCCAUCGCGACCCCAUGGACAAUUGUUGUGGCCCACCAGUGGCCUGCGCAGAUUAUGGCUUAUCCUGAUGAGGAGGAGGCUGGUGUGGUGUCGCGCCAGCAGCCUGUGCAGCCGGCGCUCGCGUCAGACAACGAGGAGGCUGAAGAAGAUGUGGUGCCAGAGGCAGAGAUUCAGCCAGGGCCUUCAGAUCCUCCAGAGGCCCCUUCAAGUGAAGAGAGUGAAGUGGAGGAGCCUCUUCUCAAUGCACGAGCAUGCAGAGCUGCCAAAAGGCAGGAGUGGUUACUCAGGAGGAGGUCUCCUCAAGAGUAAGGCUUGGGGCUAAUUGGUCACUCCCUUAGCCUAUUUAAGUUUGCACACAGCUGGCAAACAUUGCAGGAAACAACGUUUGUUUGUCUGGUCGUUCGUUGAGCAUUUGAGAGUGAAGUUUCCUUGCAAACCUGGUUUCUGGGCUAAUUGCCAACUCUUGUAAGCCUUUAUCUAAUCUUUGGAAUUUCUGGCAGGCUGUUAAGGACAUUUUUAGUAAUAGCCUGCAUUUGAAAAAGACUGUGUUUGUAGUAAACGGAGUUGUUCAGA